UGGUUUGAGUGCGAGUAUCUUCGGAAACUCUACAGAUAUUCUUGGGCGGAGGAAUAUUUUUAAAGUGUGGAAACUAAUACGGUUGUAUGUUUUGCUGUAAACUGAAAUCAAUUGAAGUCGUUCAAACCAAUCCUACAUGUGUUACUGUCUCUGCCCAGUAGGAGGCAGGCUUCACCUGCAUAAUGAUGUGGCACCCCGACUGUCUAUUUCAGGAUGAUUCAAAUAUUUACAAGGAUAGAAUCACUUUCAUAUUAAGUAAAGGGAGAGCCUAAGAGAGAAAGAAAGACGUGGGGGGUUGGCAAAAUACAUUCUCUUAUACCUCAAUGGAAAGAUGUGGUAUAGAUUGGGGUGACCUUGUUUAACCCUCUCUGCCUCAUGAGCACCAUAACAACUUGUCUGUGCUAAUUUAGGGUCUCCACAUAGGGUGUGACAUCACAGUGUUUCCUGUUGGCAUGCGGCCAGCCUGUGUUUGUGUCUAAAAGCAGUGGAGGGUGGAGGGUUUCUACUCUCUCUCUCACGCAGCAUGCUGUGAAAAAGAGGCCAUCUUUAAAGGAAACUGCUUCUCGUCGGGUCAAAGGGCAGUGGUUUUUCCCACACUGCAGCUGGGGACACUCUGGGGACAGUGUGACAGGCACAGGACACAUAAAAAAAAAGCCUGUUUAAAGUGUAAGGAGUUCAGAAAGCAAGCUGUAAAACAUAUGAGGUGGUCAAUGAGGGGAUGAGAACAGGAGGAAACACGACUUCACAAACAGGAUCAGCAUGCCUCCAAAGGGAAUGUUAAUGUUGCUGUUGUUGGUGUGCAUGUGCAUGUGUGGACGCGCGUGGGUGUGAAUUUGGGUGUUUGCAGGAGUGCAUGCAUGGAUACUGUGUAUUUCCAUACAAGGUCAGAUGUAUGUAAGGUAUUAUAAUGAUUUAACUGCACAUCUCAGCCCAUGAGAAGUACACUUUGUCAUUGAACACAGUAUAUGACCUGUGAAUCUGUAUGGAAGCCAUCAUAGAAUAAAAGAAAGAGAGCUGUGUAGGGAUGAAACGGUUACCGGUUUCACGACCAACCACAGUAAAAUUCCCGACGAUUAGUAUUACCGUUUCAAAUUUGAAUUAUCAUUAAAAACCGUGUUUGAUUACCACGGGUUGGAAAAACUCGCGGUAAAUACUGUCCAGCAUCAACCAAAUUUAGCAACGGUCUGACGCAGGCGCAGCAUGCAACGUGGGUUUUGUUUUGUGUGAAAACAUGACGGAAGGCAGUGACAGCACUCGGGAGAUUUUUCAGCCUUCCAAGAGGACCACAUCUGAAGUGUGGUCGUAUUUUUUUUUAAAGAGUGUUGAGAAACUUCAUCGAAUAUCACCUUGUCUGCAGAACAACAACCAAAAAAUCGCUGCGAAAGGGCGCAACACUUCACAUCUCUUGGGUCAAUCUUCAUGACCACCACCCCACUACUUUAUAGCGAAUGCAAGAGAUGGACGUACAGCAGGCAAACCCAGUGAUGCUACCGGUCCCUCCUCGUCUACAGUUGUGACACAGACACUCUAGCAAGCAUUUAAAAAGGCAGGCUGCUUAUGCACCCACAUCAAAAAAUGCUCAAGACCUCACUGUAGCCCUUUCCUAUUACAUUGCAAAGGACAUGAUGCCAUUUCAAAUUGUUGAGAAGCCUGAAGGUUGCCGUGCCUCACUACGAAGUGAGUGCUGCUAAUUGUAUUUGUUGUUUAUUUUAUUUGCUUACUUAAGGUUGUGCUCAUUUAAACCUGUGCUAGGGGAACUUCUACCUGUCAUGGCCACAUGGUGCCAUCUUUAAUGUUUUUACUUUAGUGUUUAUGCCCACAAAAAGUGCACAGUGCUGCUAAUUUUAUUUGUCGUUUGUUGGUUUUCAAUAUAAAACUUGGUGAAAUGA